GGCGUGCGCAGGCCAGUGGCGGUGGCUUGGCUGCAGGAAGGACAGUUGCCGGUUGCAGAUCGGCACGGCUGUUCACCUACUCACUGCAGGCAUCCGAGUACACAGCGCGACUCGCGAAAUAAAGACGACUCGUGUAGCAGGGCGGGGAAGCGAGAUCUCUCGAGGCGAGGCGGAAGAAGCGAGCGCAGACGCGACGGAGAGCAACAAGUGUCGAGUGACAGACAGCAGGAAGUGACGUAGCGGGCGGGGGAGGGUGCGUGCGAGUCAGCGCGCGCAUCUGCGUCUGUGUGCGUGCGUGCGUGCGUCUGUGUGAUUCAGUCGGGAUGCGACUGUCAAUAGAGUGAGGUGCCUCCCUGCGUCUCCAGUUGAGAAAGAGUGAUUCGCGAGAGGCUUCCCCGUGUGCGCGUUCCGUCACGUGACCCCGUCCUCGUCAGCCAGCAGGUAGUGGGACUACGAGCUGCCACUACACAGUUCCUCAUUCGGGUCUGAGACUGGAAGCAACGCCACGCGACUUCGUCCCCGUCUGCUUCGAGGCCACCACACUCAUCUAUUGACACGCAGAAGUUGCAGACUGCAAAAAUGUCGUCUUUCAAGCUGGUGAUUCCUAAGGUGGACGAGACGUACCGCAGCGGGUCGUCGGCGGACCUGUCGGCUCUGCCCAGCGUGCCGGACGUG